rnacentral:lncRNA from 1 species
UGAGGUUUGACUAAUUACCAGUUUUCUACUUCGUAAUGUGUGACGUGUGGUACUUACUUCUAGUUCAUGUAAUAUUUACACUUAUUGUUUGUUCAAUAUGUGUGUCUUUAGACAAUGGUGGAUGGUAGGUGAAUAGUUAUUGUCCAAUUCCCCCAAUUUAAGUUUUUCAUGCAUAUGACAUGUUUCUAAUUUUAAAAAAGUUUCCUCAAAUAUGUUGGAUGAUAAAUUUUUGACUUUUUUCUUAAUAAUUAUAUAUAUUCUCUUUACCUGUUUACAUCAUGUCUCAUUAGAUUUUUUUAUGGCCUCGCUGUCCGUACGUCCCAAAUUUGGUUUCUGUUCUCUAACUAUAAUAGUUUGCCUCAAACAAAUGUUAUAUCACACCUAGCUGCGCAACCGUAGCUCUUAGGUCCUUAUGCGAUUUUUUUACUAUAUGUGGACGGUCUAUUUGCGGACCGUCCCCAUAUAGUCAAAAAAUUGCAUUAGGACCUAAGAGCUACGGUUCCGCAGCUAUAUCACACCGUGACCUAACUUGAGAACCACUUAUCCAAACUUCAUAAAACUUCAUAAAACUAAUAAUAUAGUUUCUCAUGAUCAUGAUUAUUGUCAAACAAUCUGUAUACGUUUUGGUGAAAAUAAGAUUUAGACUUUUUGAGUUAUGGGACUUUAUAACUAAAACAGGGGUGUGUUUUUUCACAUGUCGCGCAGUAUCUUAAAAACAAAUUAUGAUUAGUGCUGAAAACUUUACGCACUUCUUACACAUGUUACAUGUCUUAUAUCAUGUAUAUUAAUUUAAAGAUCAUUAUACUUUUUGGUGAUGAUUCAAAAUUUAUUUUAGAGUUGUUGAGUUUUUUGGAGAAAAAAAGGGGGAGGGGGAGGAGGUAACACAUGUCGCACUGUAUCUAAAAAAACAUUAAUGAUUAUUGCUUAAAACUACACAAUUAUUAGGGUCCCGCCAAAGGUGGUCCCCUAUAGUGAUCAGUCCGUCCGUCCGUCCGUCCGCCCAUCCGUAACACUUUGUGUCCGCUCCAUAUCUAGAGAACCAUUAUGAUUUCAUACUUUAUACUUUACAUGUUUAUUAACCACCACCAGAGGGCGUGUCAUGAUGUAUGUACAACUUCCUAGGUCAAAGGUCAAGGUAAAAAAACUUUGGUUUCAGUUGACAACCCUGUGUCCUGUGGUGAAGAUCGUGUCUGCUCUAUAUCUUGAGAACCGUUAUGAUUUCAAAGUUUAUACUUGACAUGUAUAUGAACCAACACCAGAGGGUGUGUCAUAAUUUAUGAACGACUGCCUAGGGCAUAGUUCAAGGUCAAAAACUUUGGUUUCAGUUGACAACCCCAUGUCCUAUGGUAAAGAUUGCGUCCGCUCUAUAUCUUGAGAACCGUUAUCAUUUCAAAGUUUAUACUUGACAUGUAUAUAAACCAACACCAAAGGGUGUGUCAUAAUUUAUGUGCAACUUCCUAGGUCAAAGGUCAAGGUCAAAAACUUUGGUUUCAGUUGACAACCCCAUGUCCUAUGGUAAAGAUCGUGUCCGCUCUAUAUCUUGAGAACCUUUAUCAUUUCAAAGUUUAUACUUGACAUGUUUAUAAACCAACACCAAAGGGUGUGUCAUAAUUUAUUUACAACUUCAUAGGUCAAAGGUCAAGGUCAAAAACUUUGAUUUCAGUUGACAAACCCAUGUCCUAUGGUAAAGAUACAAUUUUUUAAUGCACAUUAUUCACAGCGGGCCCACAGAGAUGGCUCCCAUCUCAAUGAUAUCUAGUUAGUUAUAAUUAUCUAAAGAUCUGUUUUACUUUUUGUUGAUGAUUCAAAAUUUUAUUUCAGAGUUAUUGAGUUUUUGGUAGAAAAAAAGUUUGUUUUUUUUCACAUAUCGCGCCAUACAAUGUAUCUCAGAACCUUUUUAUGAUUAUUGCAUUAAACUUCACACACAAGAUGACAGGCAUUUAUGCGCUCAGGGCGCAGCUGUUUAUUUCUUUCUGUUCUCUAACUUUAGUUCAUUUCUACCAAAUGUUAUGGAACUUAUACACAAUGCUCAUUACCUCAAAACACAGAUUAAGUUAGGAUUUUGAUCGUCAUUUUAACCAUUCUAGAGUUAUGCCCUUUACAAAUGGAAAAAAAGCAGAAUUUUUCGUGUCCGUUCUCUCACUUUAGUUUGCCUCAACCAAAUGUGAUGAAACUUAUACACAAUACUUAUUACCAAAAAAUACAGAUUGAGUUUGAGUUUUAGUUGUGUCAUUUUUACCGUUCUAGGGUUAUGCCGCUUUACAAAUGGAUAUAUUGCUGAAUUUUUAGUUUCCGUUCUCUAACUUAAGUUAAUUUGCCUUCAACAUGUUCAAUGUUAUCAUGGUUAUGAAAUGUACAUAGCUAGCUUUUGAAGGACCUCAUUUUAAUUUUUGACAUUCUUAAUAAUGUGAAUAUACAAUUUUCAUGGCUACAGAUGAAUCGUCAAUACUAGCUAUGGAAGGACCUUGUUUUAACCUUGACAUUCUUCUUAAUAAUGUGAAUAUACAUUUUCAGGGCUACAGAUGAAUCAUCAAUACUAGCUUUUGAAUUACCUUGUUUUAACCUUGAUAUUCUUAAUAGUGUGAAUAUACAUUUUUAGGACUACAGAUGAGUCGUCAAUAUUAGCUUUUGAAGGACCUUGUUUUAACCUUGAUAUUCUUAAUAAUGUGAAUAUACAUUUUUAGGGCUACAGAUGAGUCGUCAAUACUAGCUUUUGAAGGACCUUUUUUUAACCUUGACAUUCUUAAUAAUGUAAAUAUAUAUUUUUAGGGCUACAGAUGAGUCGUCAAUACUAGCUUUUGAAGGACCUUGUAAUAUAGAAAUUAGAGAUGCAAGUCAAUUAUCACAAGAAGAAUUUAUUAAAAGGUUAGUUUUGUUUAUCUUAUUAGGAUCUAAAGAUAUGUAAAAUCACAAGGCAUCAUGUAGAUACUGUACCCUCCUUAUCAUUCAUGAUGUCAUUGAAACAUACAUUGUAAGACAUUGCAACAUGUCCAAUCACCGACAAUAGAGGGUUGUUUUACCCUGAAAGAUUGAUUACUGUUUACUGCUAGGAUUUGUUUAUUUUGUUUGAUCACUAUAUUUUUUUUUAUCAACAAACAGACCUAUAAUUUGAUUUAUAAACCAAUAUGUAUUUAUAUAACCAUGCCUUAUAUUAAAAUAUUAGUCCAAUAUCCUAAAAAAUGUCGUCCAAUGCACAUGAUUUAGAUGAAAUAGGAAAAUAUGACGGGAGCAAAAAAUGGUUUGGUUAGUCAUAACUUUUUGUAAACCCAUCACAUGCGCCCUAACUGUCAAACCAUUCCUUAAUUGCAGGAAUAGAUUUAUUGCCUUCAAAUACGAUUUUAAUGAACUGUUGACUUUUUGGGAUAUCUUAGUGAAAUCAAUAAUGGUUUUUAACAAAAGUUUCACUUGUCAUCACUCGUAUCAUGUAGAACAUGUAGAAUGAACUUUUUACCAGUUUUUAUUUCAAUAUCAAGAUGACAUAUUUUCCCCAGAUGAGUAAUUCUUUGAGCCUCUAGUUAUACCUACCAAAAGUGCUAAAGUUAAUCUUGUUUUACAAUACAUAUUUUAGCUGCUGAUUUAAUGUUCUUUUUACAUGUUUUAACAUACCAACAAUGCUCAUUCAAGUGUUGUUUUACUUUACAGAUAUGCUCACCAAAGUCCCUUAGUUAUAAAAGGUGCCACAGAUAACAGAAACUUUCACCAAAUUUGUAGUAAGGAUGAAUUGAUACGAAAUCAUGGGACAAAAAAGAUAAGACUAAGCUCAGCUAACACAUACUCAUAUGAAAAAAGUAAGUAAUGAUUCAAAGACAUUAUAUUUAUCAACCAAAGUUUUUGUCCAAAUGAAUUGUUUUAAUAAUAGUAAUAUUUAUUCAGGUAAAGGCAGUAUACACAAAUGAAAAAUACAACCUCAAAAUAUAGCAAUGGUUGUUAUAUAACCUCAAAAUAUAGCAAUGGUUGUUAUAUAACCUCAAAAUAUAGCAAUGGUUGUUACAUAACCUCAAAAUAUAGCAACGGUUGUUAUAUAGGUACCACUAAUGCCUUAACCCAAGGAUGGAUGAAAGCAAUAUACUAUUACAUAAUACAACCUCAAAAUAUAGCAAUGGUUGUUACAUAGGUACCACUAAUGCCUUAACCAAAAGAUGACCCAUUAAAGCAAACAACCUUAUUUCCAAUGGGGUCCUUAGCUGAAAUGAAAAUAAUAACAUACUAAUAUAUAAUUAGGAGACAAGAUUGCCAUAAAAACAACCUUUCAACAGACUCUAAAAAACCUAGAGUUUUUCUUUGCAUUCAUAUUUUUAUACCAAUGUGCUUCUGGAAUUGCAUAAAUACCAGUUUUCCUGCAUUGUUUUUAUCAUUAAAGCUACUUGUAUUUAUUACUAGGAAAGAAGUUUUGGGGCUGUAAUAAAAAGUUGCAAGUAAAUGGGAUGUUUUUUGUGUGCAAAUGUAUAGGCAGUGAUAUUGUUGGCUUUUUUCAAAACUAUCUCUACCCUUUUUUAUUGGGAAAAUAUGCAUCAUUUUUAUCAAAUUGGGAAAUUUACAAUUGUAUAAUAAAUCAUGAAUUUGACUGGAAGUUCAAUUUGCAGACCCCCUUUCAAGAGGUAAACUCUCAUUUGAAAUAUAAAGACCCCUUAUUGUCAGUGAUGAUACAUAAAUAGACCCUAAAAUCUGCACAUAUAUUCAGUUUAGACAUGAAAUUUUUUUAAAUGAGUGUUUUACAGUUUUUAUUCAUGCUCAAUUACUUCUGUUUGGGAAAAAAGGUGUAUUUUUGGGAACAAUUUUAAGCCAUUUUUUUUAAAUUCGGAUUUUUCUCCAGGGGAAAAAACCUUUAUUCUCCGGUAAUUUAAGGCAAACAUUAUCACUGAUUGGGAAUGCAUUAGAUUGAAUAAAUAAUAAUGUUUUAAUUUCAGGAGAUGUGUCAUUAAAGUAUUAUAUAGAAAAUGUUAUGAAACCUCAGACCUUAACAAUGCUUGGAAAUGGUAUGUAUAAAUGAACACAUUCUUAGGACUAGUACUGAUUGUCAUUUGUAUGAGAUCAUCUUUUUCCCUCCCAGCUUUAUGGGUAACAAAUAAGCUUUUUUAUACGACCGCAAAAUUUGAAAAAUUUUUCGUCGUAUAUUGCUAUCACGUUGGCGUCGUCGUCGUCGUCUGCGUUGUCUGCGUCGUCGUCGUCGUCCGAAUACUUUUAGUUUUCGCACUCUAACUUUAGUAAAAGUGAAUGGAAAUCUAUGAAAUUUUAAGACAAGGUUUAUGACCACAAAAGGAAGGUUGGUAUUGAUUUUGGGAGUUUUGGUCCCAACAUUUUAGGAAUUAGGGGCCAAAAAGGGCCCAAAUAAGCAUUUUCUUGGUUUUCGCACUAUAACUUUAGUUUAAGUUAAUAGAAAUCUAUGAAAUUUUGACACAAGGUUUAUGACCACAAAAGAACGGUUGGGAUUGAUUUUGGGAGUUUUGGUUUCAACAGUUUAGGAAUUAGGGCCAAAAAAGGGCCCAAAUAAGCAUUAUUCUUGGUUUUCGCACAAUAACUUUAGUUUAAGUAAAUAGAAAUCAAUGAAAUUUAAACACAAUGUUAAUGACUACAAAAGGAAGGUUGGUUUUGAUUUUGGGAGUUUAGGUCCCAACAGUUUAGGAAUUAGGGGCCAAAAAGGGACCCAAAUAAGCAUUUUUCUUGGUUUUCGCACCAUAACGUUAGUAUAAGUAAAUAGAAAUCUAUGAAAUUUAAACACAAGGUUUAUCACCAUAAAAGGAAGGUUGGUAUUGUUUUUGGGAGUUUUGGUCCCAACAGAAUAAGGGCCCAAAGGGUCCAAAAUUAAACUUUGUUUGAUUUCAUCAAAAUUGAAUAAUUGGGGUUCUUUGAUAUGCCGAAUCUAACUGUCAUGACUGUGUAUGUAGAUUCUUAACUUUUGGUCCCAAUUUCAAAUUGGUCUACAUUAAGGUCCAAAGGGUCCAAAAUUAAACUUAGUUUGAUUUUGACAAAAAAUGAAUCAGUUAGGUUCUUUGAUAUGCUGAAUCUAAAAAUGUACUUAGAUUCUUGAUUAUUGGCCCAGUUUUCAAGUUGGUCAAAUCGGGGUCCAAAAUUAAACUUUGUUUGAUUUCAUCAAAAAUUGAAUAAAUGGGGUUCUUUGAUAUACCAAAUCUAACUGUGUAUGUAGAUUCUUCAUUUUUGGUCCUGUUUUCAAAUUGGUUACACUAAAGUCCAAAGGGUCCAAAAUUAAACUUAGUCUGAUUUUAAUAAAAAUUGAAAUCUUGGGGUUCUUUGAUAUGCUGAAUCCAAAAAUGUACUUAGAUUUUUUAUUAUGGGCCCAGUUUUCAAGUUGGUCCAAAUCAGGAUCUAAAAUUAUUAUAUUAAGUAUUGUGCAAUAGCAAGUCUUUUCAAUUGCACAGUAUUGCGCAAUGGCAAGAAAUAUCUAAUUGCACAAUAUUGUGAAAUAGCAAAUUUUUAUUUAAUUAGAGUUAUCUUUCUUUGUCCAGAAUAGUAAGCAAGAAAUAUCUAAUUGCAAAAUAUUGUGCAAUAGCAAGAUUUUUUUUUAAUUGGAGCUAUCUUUCUUUGUCCAGAAUCAACUUAAAUCUUUGUUAUAUACAAUAUACAAUGUAUAUUCACUUUUUACUACCAACUGAUAAAUUAAAAUAAUCUUUACCAUUCAGUGAUAAGAAGCAUUUUUUUUACAUCUUAAUAUUUUAUGAUGUAUUUAAAUGAGUAGUUAUUGUUGCAAACUCCAUUAGAAAUUUUAAUUGAGAUUAGUUUUGGAAUAAGGGAAAGGGGGAUGUGAUUAAAAAAAUUGGGUUCAAUUUUUCUCAUUUGAAAUUUCAUGAAUAAAAAAGAAAAUUUCUUCAAACAUUUUUUUGAGAGGAUUAAUAUUCAACAGCAUAGUGAAUUGCUCUAAGAGAAAACAAAAAUUUUAAGUUCAUUAGAACACAUUCAUUCUGUGUCAGAAAACUAUGCUGUGUCAACUAUUUAAUCACAAUCCAAAUUUAGAGCUGAAUCCAGCUUGAAUGUUGUGUCCAUACUUGCCCCAACCGUUCAGGGUUCAACCUCUGCGGUCGUAUAAAGCUACGCCCUGCGGAGCAUCUGGUUUCGACUGUAUUUAAGGUGAACAUGUACAUCUAGCUGUUUCUUCUGACCUUAAGAUCAUUUUCAUGAUUUAUUUAUCAAUGUUUUCAUGGUUAGGUCUGUUGUUCAGAUACUUUUAGCAAUAUAUCAACAAUAGUUGGUGUAUGGAAGGAUUGCAUGUUGAGCAUGUCUGUCUGGGCAUAUUUCAUAUCACCUUAGUCUCAUUUUUAUGUAUCAUUGAUAAUUAUUUAAGAUUAUGUGACCCUUGUAGUAAAACUUUUAUCUAUAGAUCUUUCCACAAAAAAAUCAAUUUUGAUCAGCAAAGUAGGCAAGACAUUUUAGUGUGUGCUCUCCUGUUUUGCAUCUUUGAUUAAAUCAAACAUUUAUUUUAUAACAUUUAAACUUAACAGAUGUUAGACUUAUAUUUAGAAACCUUUUACUGGUUUGGAGAUAAUAAUUAUACAGAAUGGGAGGAUGUGUUUAACAGAUACAAACCACCACCUUAUAAGUUACCUUUUAUGACAGGGGCUUACAGCUUUGGUGUUGCAGGUAUUUAUGUUCUUAAUGAGUUUUGGGUUAUUCUUCUAAAGUACAAGGUCAUAUUUAUUGAAAUGGGCAUGUAUGUUUGUGGCUUUUGUUGCCUCUUGCAUAUUUACAGAAAUGCAUAAAACUUUUUUAUGAAAAAUAUUCUUAUAUAUAAGAAAAUAUUCUUAUAUAUAAAUAAAUUAUAAUGUUUGAAUAAUCUCCCCAUAAUUUUCUCAAAAUUUUACUUAUACAAGUAAAUUAGUUUUUACAAUUCCACCAACAUUCUAAAGUUUUAAAAGAUGUAAAAUCGUGCCUUUAAUGAUUUUUCCCAGGUUAGCUCACAAUUAUUUAUAAGAGUUCAAUGUUUCAUCUCUUUAAUUCAACCAUGGAAGUAUUAUAUUGACAGGAACUCCAACAAACCGACUUCAAACGUUUAUAGUGCGAUGCCGCAAAAUCGUUAAGUAUCUGUUAAUUAAUUUGACAUCUUUCAAUUAGUUGUAUCGAUGCAUGGGUUCAACGACGUUUUCGGGAUACUCGUAAUUACGGAAUUUACCGAAGUAACCGGAUGUAUACAUAAAUGUCAAGGAUAUGACAUUUAACGACCCCCCCCCAAAAAAAAAAAAAAAAAAACUGAAAAAAAAACAUAAUCGUUUGCAUGGACAUCAUUUUCAAUCGCAAAUAUCUAUUUAUUCUUUAUAUUCGCUUAUUUGUUUCUCUGUUAUUUGUUUUGUGCAUAAUCAGGCCAAUAGAAUUUUUUUCAUAUAUGAAAUGGAUUUGCUAAAAUAUGUUUAAGGCUGUAAGGUGACCUAUAGUUGAAAACUUCUGUUUCAUUUGAUCUCUGGUGGAGAGUAGUCUUAUUGGCAAUCAUAUCUUCUUAUUUUUAUAUUGAAUUAUAAUAAAUGUCUUGUGUAAGGAAACAAAUAGUUGUAAUCUGCAUGUAUAAUUGAGGUUUACUGCUAACAAAUCACUUGUUGAAUUGUUUACUGAAAGUCCGGUGUCAAAUGUUUCAUUCAUUUCAACAAAAAGAAAAUUUUAUAAAUUUCCCAAAACAAAUCCGUCAGACGCCAGAGCAAUCUCGGACCAGGUUGAAUUUAAAAAAAAAAAGAAGGUGUACAUGUAAUCUGUGUUUUAACUUGAUACAUACUAUAUGGAGAGACAAUCACGGGCGUAUAAUUAUCCACCUCUUAGUGCUUAAAACAAUUUCUAUAAAUAUGUUAAGUUACAUUUUACGAUCGAGAAAACUAUUAAUAUUUGUGUUACACUCGAUUAAAAUUUACAAUCUUUAACUUAAAAUUUGAGUUAUCAGGCGCCAUCAGGCACACUACACGGACAUCAAAUUAUUUUCUGCAAACACUCUACUUCAGAGUCAUGUAAUCUGCAUAAUCCGAUAUUUCCCGAUUUCCUAGUUCUAGUGAUAAAAACAUAUUAGACAAAACUAAAAAUAAUCUUACAUUCUUUCCAAAUACAGUUAUUUUUCUUUUGUCAUUCUGUUAAAUAUGGACCGAUUUUUAAGAUUGUUUCAGCUGUAGUCUUUAAUUAUUGAAUAAAAACAGGUGUCGUUAUUCAUGUAGCGAUUUGCAAUUAGCCACGGGAGUUUCCGUGUUUAUUUACAUUGGUAGGUAGAUUAGACCCUCGAUAACAGAUCACGUGAUAAGAUCAGUUUCUGUAAACUACACACGCGAGGGCGGCAUCGCAGAUACCCCACAAAGGAGUUAUCACAUACUUGACAUACUGAGUCGGAACCUUUUAUUUUCCUAAAGAAAUCAGUGGGGUGCGAAUGUGCUAAUUUUUCGUUGGAGUUCCUGUCAAUAUAAUACUUCCAUGAUUCACAAAGAAACUGAUUGCACAAAGAUCUUAAGUAUUUGCGCAAAGCCUUCAAAAAUUGCUCCUUCGGAGUUGUAAAUGACCAGUGAUUCUGAAGAUAACAGACAAAUGAUUGUUUCAUUGUCCAUGAAAUUACACUUUAAUGAUUAGUAAAGACAUCUGCAAUGGGCAGACAAAUAAAGUUCUAUUAGAGCAAAGAAAUCUUAAGAAUUUAAGAAAUGAAGAUAAGAUGACUUUUUCACUGAUAUAAGUAAAAAAAAUCUGAAUGUCUAAGGGACAUAACUAGAUAAUUUUUUUUAAAAUUCACUUGUAUAAGUAUCCUACAAAUUUACUUAUAUAAGUAUCCUUCAAACUUACUUAUAUAAGUAAAAAAAUAUAUUCUUAUAUAAGUAAAUUAUAAUGUUUGAAUAAUCUCCCCAUAAUUUUCUCAAAAAUUUACUUAUACAAGUAUAUUACUUAUUCUUAUAUAAGUAUCCUACAAAUUUACUUAUAUACUUCUUCAAGUAAAUAAAAUUACUUGUACAAGUAGUACCCCUGACUGACAGUAGACCGAGCAGAAAAUAACUCAUCCAUGUUACUUAUAAUAUGCAUAAAAAACUAUCAAAUCAGUUGCUUGAAUUAGAAAUAAACCUCUGACAACUUAAUCAAAAUGCUGUUUAUGAAAGCAAGGAAAAUCUACUGCAGGACAUAACUAAGUAUUUGUACAACCUUUUUGGUGUACAGUGAGAAUACUUACACAAAGAUGUUCCAUUAACAGCAACAGUUCACUACUACAUUAUUUUGUGCCAAUAAUGCAAAUACUUUCUAUAGCUUGCAUGAUUUCGAAAAAGUUUUAUCUUAUAAUAUUCUUCCUUCAAUUUAUGAAAUCUUAUAUGCCAAGGAACACUCUACAAAAAGAACUGGUGAAAAUAUCACUUUAUUUGGAUUUUUUGCUAAAUAUUGGUGAAAUAUGAAAAUUUGCAAUAGUUAAUACAUUUUGUAGAUGCAGGGACUGGUGUACCAUUUCAUUUUCAUGGUCCAGGUUUUGGUGAAGUUAUUUAUGGAAGAAAGGUAUUUUGUUUAAAAAAAAAAAAAAUUGUACUGCACCAUUAAACAUGUUAGACAUUACUAAACAUUUUGUACCUUAACUAAACAGUGUGUACCAUAACUUAACAGUGUGUACCAUAACUAAACAGUGUGUACCAUAACUAAAAGUGUGUACCAUAAGCAAACAGUGUGUACCAUAACUAAACAGUGUACCAUAAGUAAACAGUGUGUACCAUAAGUAAACAGUGUGUACCAUAACUAAACUGUGUGUACCAUAAGUAAACAGUGUGUACCAUAACUGAAGAGUGUGUACCAUAACUAAACAGUGUGUACCAUAACUAAACAGUGUGUACCAUAAGUAAACAGUGUGUACCAUAACUAAACAGUGUACCAUAAGUAAACAGUGUGUACCAUAAAUGAACAGUGUGUACCAAAACUAUACAUUAUGUACUAUAAUGGAACAUUGUGUUCUAUAAAAAAAAACAUUGUAUUCUACAACAAAACAUUGUGUACUAUAACAAAACAUUGUGUUAUAUAAGGAAAAUUGCAAAGUUACGAAACAUUGUGAAAGGGUUGAGAAGUUAAUUAUAUAAAAUGUUGUUUGCAUGGAACUUAUUUUAAUUUUUAUACUUAAUUUACUGUAAAUUCUAAAUUAAGAAUUAAUCUUAAGCUGAUCUUGAGAUGGCCAUGCUGACCUUGGCUUCCCAUAUUAAAAACAUUAUUCCUAGAUAAACCCCAAGCACAAUACAUAUCUUUUGUCAACAAUUUUUUGGGGUUUGGAUGGUAGGAAUAAUUUUUAUUUGACUGCACCAGGUUUGCACUGACAACCUUUCACCUUUAAAGACCAAUGAGCUUAUGAAAAUAUUAGUUUUAAGAGAUGGCUUCUAACUACAACUUGUAGAACAUUUAAGCAAUUUGGUAUUGUGAAAAGAUUAGUGCCUUUUAAAUAUGCACAGCUAUUGUUUUUCCAUAUUGAACAAAGUGUUGAAUAUAAAUCUAAAUCUUGUGUAGAAUAAUAUUAAUUAUUUGUUUUUAGCGUUGGUUUUUAUAUCCACCAGAGAAAACCCCAUCUUUUCAUCCCAACAGAACUACCCUGCAAUGGUUGUUUGAAGAUUAUCCUAAUCUACAUCCUGAUGAUAAACCAAUAGAAUGCACAAUAAAUCAGGGAGAGGUAAGGAUAGCGGUCUCUGUCAAGCUAUGUGAAUUCCUAUAUUUUCAUGGAUUCAGUAAAUAUUUUUAUCUGACCGCAAAAAUUUUUUGCAUUUGUAUAAUGGUAUGAUGUCAUCGUCUGCUUCCUCGUCCUCUGCGUUGUCAGAAGACACAUUUGGUGUCCAAUAACUUUAGUUUAAGUGAAUGGAUCUCUAUGAAAAAUUUCAUUAAAAGGUUCAAUACCUCAAAAGGAAGAUUGGCAUUGAUUUUGGGGUUGAUGGUCUCAACCAUUUUGGAAUUAGGGGCCCAAAACAAGGAUUUUUCUACAUUCAGGAUAUCAACUUGUGUAUAAGUAUUCCAAUUGCUCUGAAAUUGUACCACAAUGUUUAAUACCACAGGUAGAAGGUUUGGAUUGAUUUUCGGUGUUAUGGUCUCUAUUCUGUUACAUCGUUCCGUGAUUUAUAUAGUUCAUUUGAUUAUAUUCUUAAUCUAUUUAUGUGUUCCAGUCUAGGAGGAUUAUUCCUCUUUAACCUUAUGAGAACGUUAAAACAUCGUACCGUCGCUACCUUUCCCUCUCUCACACAUGUCUAAAACUGAAACUGCAAGGUCAUACCAGUAUUGAAGAACAUUCAAAGGACAAACGUCUUCUUGGACGCAAUUCGUGGCUAACCACAGAGUGAGUUAAUUCUACAACAUUGUAUUUGAACCCUUCAAAUUGCUCUCUACAUAUUUGAACCUUUUCUCCAUAAAAUACCUGGAAUUAUCUGUUCUUGAAAGUACAACAUUUUCUCGCAUUCAACGGACUGUGCUAUCUAUUACCUUUGACAUUUCGUUUUAAUAACAUUAAUUAAACACAUUGUAAAAAUUGUAUUUUAUUUGUUUUUCAGCUUUUUACCAUUUGUUAGAUUGACUCUUGAUUAAAGUAUCAGCAUCUGAUAGUCUUUUCUGCUUGAGCCCAAUCGUCGGUUAUACUUAGUGGUCAGGCCAUUACAGUCUCAAAGGUUUAGGAAUUUGGGGCCAAAAAAGAGGCCCAAAUAAGCAUUUUGUAGUUUCCAGUCAAUAACUUGUGUUUAAGUGUAUAAAUCUCUCUGAAAUUAUUCCACAAGUUUUCAUACUACAAAAGGAUGGUUAUAGGGGUUAUGGAUCAAAUCAUUUAGCAAUUAGGGGUAAAAAAUGGGGAAACAAGGGUUUUUCUGGUGAAAGGACAAUUUAGACAAUUUAAAGCAGUGUAAGGGAGGUAAGCCAAUUUCAUUUAAAGAAUACUGUUGUAUAUAUGUUUGAUUACCUCCCUUACACUGCUUGAAAAUUACUUAUUAAGAAAUGAUGAUUGUCUUGAGAUGAUUAGCUGUAAAUUUGUAUUUAGACAUGUUAAAAGUUACUAUUAAUUGAUAUUAAUUUUAACCAUGACUGUAUGUCAUUUUAUAUUUUAAUAUUUUAUGAUGUAUUAAAAUGAGUAGUUAUUGUUGCAAACUCUUUUUGAGGGGAUUGAUAUUCAACAGCAUAGUGUAUUGCUCAAAAACCAAAAUUGUUUUUUAGGUUCGUUAGACCACAUUCAUCCUGUGUCAUAAACCUAUGCUGUGUCAACUACUUAAUCACAAUCCAAAUCCAUAGCUGUAUCAAGCUUGAAUGUUGUGUCAAUACUUGCCCAAACUAUUCAGGGUUAAACCUCUGCAGUCGUAUAAAGCUGAGCCCUGCGGAGCAUCUGGUUGAAAUUUAUUUUCCAUCUUUUUCCUAUUUGAUCUACUAACAAAAAAAUAUAUAGAUUUUGUUGAACAUUUGAAUUCAUUGAUCACCUAUAGCAACCAAAUCCACAAAAAAUGGUAACCUAUUAAUAAUACUUUAUUCAUACUGGUAAUAAGCUCUCCUACAGGCCAAUCAAGUGAGGUGAAGAUUUCCUGAACUACUAUCAAUCUCUUAAAUGGAGACAAGAACUACUUAUCAAUCAAGAAAAAGUAUGGUGCUUGCUCAAGCUCAAGAACUUGCAUUGUUUUAGCUCACAGGGCACACCUACCAGUAAUAGUUAUUACUGUUAUUAUAAACAAAUAUGAUUAGAUUUGCUGAAUUAUUGUGUGAACAAGAAAACCUUUAAAAGAAUAAAGAUUUCACCAAAAUAAGAUUCACAAAUAAGUUGAUAUGGAUAGAACUGAAAAGUCUACCUUAUAAAGACAAUGUUUUACUUUAAAAAACAAACUAAAAAAAGAUACCCCCAAAAAUGAUAUUCAGUAAUACAAUUAAUAUUGUUACCUCAAUUUUGAUAGCCUUGUAAUCAAUAUUUAAACUGUAAUAUUUUUAUUUAAACUAGUGCUAUAUUCAUAUUUUGUUACCAGCAAUAUGAUAUGAUGAUCAAUAUCAAUUCAAUGUAGUGUAAUAUUUCUGCCUAAAUCGAAAUUAAUUGAAUACUUUUGCCUUUGAUAAUAUCUCACUUUAUUUUGUAGAUAAUAUAUUUCCCAGACAGAUGGUGGCAUGCAACGCUAAAUAUAGAUAAGAGUGUUUUUAUUUCAACAUUCUUAGGAUGAAGAAACAAUCAAUACUAUUAACAAACUUAUUUUUUAUUCUAUGAGUUAUUAUAAACCUUCUUAAUUGAUGUGGAUUGUCAGUUUAUAGAAGGUUGGUUGUUCUAUCCUGCAUUCCAGACUUCCUUCACCAUGAUUGACAGCCAGGAUAUAACCAAUAGUGCUAAAAUGGUGUUUUAUUAAUAAUUCAAACAAUCAUCAUUGAUCAUCUUAUGAUAUUUUGUUAUUUUUAUAAGUUCUUCAUCAGUGGAAACCUUUAACUGCAGUCUUGCCAUCAAUCUUGUCAUCACUCAUUACUUUGUAUGAGAAAGAAAGAUUAAAAAAAAGGAGAAAAAGCAAGAGGGGAUUCAUAAGUUGAGAGAGAGUGGCAACACCACAGCAAAAAAACAAAAGACAACCAAAAGACAAAAAAUGUUACAAAAUACUAAAUGGAAAUCUAAGCCUUUAAACUGAAAAUAAGAACCCCAUAAAACUAUUGGGUGAUGUCAGCUGCAAAGGAGGGAAAGCACUUGUCACACUAGUUGAUGUCAUUCAAUCAAUUUAGUGUGGCAAUUUUUAUGUGGAAUAAAUUUCUUAUUUAUUUGUACAAUUCUUGGAACUUGACUUUAUAGAAUUUCAAGACAUAUUUAUUUUUUUAAUAUAGCAUUACUUUUGUCAUUCCACUGCAAAUGUUGUUUUUUUU